CGGGGUUAGUGGCGGACGGGUGAGUAACACGUGGGAACGUGCCUUUAGGUUCGGAAUAGCUCCUGGAAACGGGUGGUAAUGCCGAAUGUGCCCUUCGGGGGAAAGAUUUAUCGCCUUUAGAGCGGCCCGCGUCUGAUUAGCUAGUUGGUGAGGUAACGGCUCACCAAGGCGACGAUCAGUAGCUGGUCUGAGAGGAUGACCAGCCACACUGGGACUGAGACACGGCCCAGAUUCCUACGGGAGGCAGCAGUGGGGAAUCUUGCGCAAUGGGCGAAAGCCUGACGCAGCCAUGCCGCGUGAAUGAUGAAGGUCUUAGGAUUGUAAAAUUCUUUCACCGGGGACGAUAAUGACGGUACCCGGAGAAGAAGCCCCGGCUAACUUCGUGCCAGCAGCCGCGGUAAUACGAAGGGGGCUAGCGUUGCUCGGAAUUACUGGGCGUAAAGGGCGCGUAGGCGGAUCGUUAAGUCAGAGGUGAAAUCCCAGGGCUCAACCCUGGAACUGUCUUUGAUACUGGCGAUCUUGAGUAUGAGAGAGGUAUGUGGAACUCCGAGUGUAGAGGUGAAAUUCGUAGAUAUUCGGAAGAACACCAGUGGCGAAGGCGACAUACUGGCUCAUUACUGACGCUGAGGCGCGAAAGCGUGGGGAGCAAACAGGAUUAGAUACCCUGGUAGUCCACGCCGUAAACGAUGAUUGCUAGUUGUCGGGCUGCAUGCAGUUCGGUGACGCAGCUAACGCAUUAAGCAAUCCGCCUGGGGAGUACGGUCGCAAGAUUAAAACUCAAAGGAAUUGACGGGGGCCCGC
rnacentral:rRNA from 1 species